ACGGGUGAGUAAUACAUCGGAACGUGCCCGAUCGUGGGGGAUAACGGAGCGAAAGCUUUGCUAAUACCGCAUACGAUCUACGGAUGAAAGCAGGGGACCGCAAGGCCUUGCGCGGACGGAGCGGCCGAUGGCAGAUUAGGUAGUUGGUGGGAUAAAAGCUUACCAAGCCGACGAUCUGUAGCUGGUCUGAGAGGACGACCAGCCACACUGGGACUGAGACACGGCCCAGACUCCUACGGGAGGCAGCAGUGGGGAAUUUUGGACAAUGGGCGAAAGCCUGAUCCAGCCAUGCCGCGUGCAGGAUGAAGGCCUUCGGGUUGUAAACUGCUUUUGUACGGAACGAAAAGACUCCUUCUAAUAAAGGGGGUCCAUGACGGUACCGUAAGAAUAAGCACCGGCUAACUACGUGCCAGCAGCCGCGGUAAUACGUAGGGUGCGAGCGUUAAUCGGAAUUACUGGGCGUAAAGCGUGCGCAGGCGGUUAUGUAAGACAGAUGUGAAAUCCCCGGGCUCAACCUGGGAAUUGCAUUAGUGACUGCAUAGCUUGAGUGCGGCAGAGGGGGAUGGAAUUCCGCGUGUAGCAGUGAAAUGCGUAGAUAUGCGGAGGAACACCGAUGGCGAAGGCAAUCCCCUGGGCCUGCACUGACGCUCAUGCACGAAAGCGUGGGGAGCAAACAGGAUUAGAUACCCCGGUAGUCCACGCCCUAAACGAUGUCAACUGGUUGUUGGGAAUUCACUUUCUCAGUAACGAAGCUAACGCGUGAAGUUGACCGCCUGGGGAGUACGGCCGCAAGGUUAAAACUCAAAGGAAUUGACGGGG
rnacentral:rRNA from 1 species